ensembl:lncRNA
AGCCACGUCCCGCUCGGCCGGCAGCGCGGGGCGCUGCGUGGUGAACACCUGAGUGGGGAUUAACGCCCCGCGCGGUGCCGACGUGUCCCCUCUGCCGGACAGGGACAGACAGCGGCCACCGACCGCUCAGCCCCACCGACACGUGGAGCAGCGCCGUGCGGCUCCGUGUGCUCCUCCGCCAUCCAGGAGCGGCGCUGACCCUGCGAGCAGCGCAGGGAAGGUGGGACUGAGGGGCUGCCAAGGGAGGGGGCUGAGCACAGGAAUCUCUCUCUGCCUCUCGGAUGCAGGGAGGUGGUACUGGGGGCGAUGCGAAGCAGGCUGCCCCAGCUCUGUGGGAGCUGCAAAGCAAAGCGCUCGGGAUCCCACUUUUCAGAAAGGCGCUCAGAAGCUUCUUAUGUUGUGCAGGGCAGUUUGCGGGCGGCUUGCCACCGCCAUCCACAUCCCUACCGCUAACUUCUGCCUGCUCCUCCUUGUCCUCCCACAGUGCGCAGCUCCCCCCCGAGCAGCACCAACCCGAACCCCAGACAGCACAGCGCCCGCAGAGCGGCAGUGCUGCACCCCGUGACAGCGGGGUCCGGAGUCACGGCGGUUGUUUUGGGGAGCCCCAUCCUCCGCCUCCAUUGGGGACCCUCAGCCCGGGGCUGCGGCCCCCGCGGGACACCAACCGGCGGGGUGGGCUGAGCCGAGCGCUGCUCCGCUGUGCUGCAGUUCUGGGCUGCCCGGCGCGGGCUCUGGGAAAAAAAAAUCAAAAUGAUAAUAAAAAAAGAAAGAAAGAAAAAAAAGGAAAAUAUAAAUAAAUAAAUAAAACCACUCAACACGUUCAGAUAUUUUUGGCGCACGGAAACAGAAAGAAGGCAAAAAUAAAAAGCUCGAAGGUGCGCGCCGAUCCCCGCCGAAAGCCGCAGUGCGCGGAGCUGCGCUGACCCGGAGCGGCGCUCCCUUCGGGGGAUGCACAGUCGGAACGCGCUGGGAACGGAUGGAUGGGCUCAGCUUUCCCCGCUCCCGCAGCGCUGCGGCUCCGCCGAACCCCUCGUCCUGCGAGGAGGUCAAGGCCUCUCGGAGCAAUCUUUUCCUAAUAAAGAGUGUGAUCGAAGCGCUCCUUCCCCCCCCCCCGCUCCCCGCGAAGGGCCGCGGAAGGGGCCGUAAACGCAGAGCCGCUGCGGAUCGAUGGAGAGAAGCCCGGAUUGAUCGGCCUCUAAAAUUAAAUUUAUUGGGGUCAUGGUUUUAUAUGGUGCUGAUACAACUGUUAAAUGGGGAACAUUCAUUUCCAAUAGGAGGCGUUUAUUAAACUUCCACUGAAUUAGACCGCCGUGAUUUAUGUGGCAAUCUCGGCACAGCCCUCCAGGAGGGAAAGGGAGAGGCAGAGAGGGCCCUUCCGCGGCCGUCUCCGGGCGGUUAUUUAUUUAUCCCCACCCCCACCCCCCCGUGCCACGGCUCCAUAAGUUUUAACCGAAAUGAUCCGCCGGGCUCAGCCGGGAGCGGAACCGCCCGCGGGUCCCGUCGGGGCGCCCCGCACCGCCCCGCACCGCGCAGCCCCGGGGGUGGGGGGGUCGGGGGGGCCCCGCAAACGUCCCCGCUCCCGCGUGCGGCGAUCGUUGAGCGUUAAUUAGAAAUUCAUUACAAUUAAAAGCCGCGCGCACACGCCUUAAUUACAUCUGAUUUUUAAUUCCGAAUCCGUGUUUACACAGUAAGCGAGACGUACCUCCUGAUUAUCCCCAAUACUCUUUAUACUGUACUAAUUAUGUAAAUUAAACCUAAUUAACUGACAAAAACUGCAGUCAAUUCAACUGUUCGAAGAUAGCGGAGGCGGCGAGGAGCGGAGGAGCCGCGGCCGUUCCGCGCUGUCGGGGCGGUGCGGUGCGGUGCGGUGCGGUGCGGUGCUGCGGG